CUCGUAGGCGGUCUGUCGCGUCGGAUGUGAAAACUCGGAGCUUAACUCCGGGCCUGCAUUCGAUACGGGCAGACUAGAGUUCGGUAGGGGAGACUGGAAUUUCUGGUGUAGCGGUGGAAUGCGCAGAUAUCAGGAAGAACACCGAUGGCGAAGGCAGGUCUCUGGGCCGACACUGACGCUGAGGAGCGAAAGCAUGGGGAGCGAACA
rnacentral:rRNA from 1 species